GGACCAUCAUGUCGGUCGUGCCUCGGUACGUACUGGUAUUGUUGGUUUCUCCCUUCUGACGAACCAUGAUGUCAUUAAUUUGGUGUCGUGGAGAAUCAGGACUGUUACUUUGAAAAAAUUAGAGUGUUUAAAGCAAGCUAACGCUUGAAUACAUUAGCAUGGAAUAAUGAAAUAGGACGUUUGACCCUAUUUUGUUGGUUUCUAGGAUCGACGUA
rnacentral:rRNA from 1 species